UUUUGACUGCAUUCUAGUUAAUUGAAAAAAUUCUAGUACCUAGAAGAUACUGCACAAAUCAAGAUGUUUACUUAGAUACGCCUUUUUAUGACAAAUUAUUGGCUACUCCUUUUUCUAUAAAAUUCAAGUGAAGACAGUGAUGCUGAAGUCAUUUCUGAACCUGAAGAUGAGAUGAUUCUUGAACCUGAAGACGGUCACGAUGCUUCUCAAGAAACUACUCUUAAUAGGUAUGACACAUUUCUACUAUUAGAUGGCCUAAAAAGGUUGUUUCACUUGUUAUAGAGAUAUAUAUACAACAUUCGUACACAAACUUCUCCAAAAAAGCAACGUCUUUUAAAAUAAUACUUAUAAAAUUUAGAGAAACAUUUGUCGACGCCUUGAUUGGAGAAGAAUUUGACUAGUUUAAAAAAAAAAAAAAAAAAAAAAAAAAAAAAAAA